ACGAAUUGUUGGAUACUAUCGGAAAUAACAAAUACUUUUCAACAUUAGAUUUAAAAUCGGGAUUUUACCAAGUCCCUAUACACCCAAGGGAUGCGGCCAAAACAGCUUCUUCUACUCCUAAGGGUCACUUCGAGUUCACGAGAAUGCCGAUUCCAAAAACUAAUGAACACAGUUUUAUACGAACUUGGAGAAAUAAAAGCAAUAGUCUACCUUGACGACAUAAUUAUUUUUGGGGAAACGAUCGAGGAACAUAAUUCUAAUCUAUACCGUGUUUUGGAAGCACUUCGAAAACAUAAUCUGAAGUUAGAACCAGAGAAAUGUCAUAUCCUUAAGGAAGAAAUUCAGUACUUGGGGCACAUAGUUGACCAGGAUGGAAUUCGACCGAUGGGUAACAAUGCUGAAGCAAUUAAAAACAUGAAGCUUCCCGCAACUGUGAAACAGGUGCGCUCAUUUUUGGGAUCAGUAAAUUUUUAUGGAAAAUUUAUAUUUAAUAUUGCAGGACUAAGAAAACCAUUAAACGACUUACUAAAGAAAGAUGUUAAAUUCGUAUGGACCAACGAAUGCGAAAAAGCUUUCAAUGAACUACGGGAAUAUCUGUCAUCAGAACCAUUACUGGUCAGACCAGACUACGAUGAUACAUUUGUAAUUACAACGGACGCCAGCAAUUAUGCAAUAGGAGCAGUAUUAUCGAAUGAGAAACGACAGACAAACCGAUAGCAUUCGCUAGUAGAGCGUUAGUAGGUGCAGAGGUUAGGUACCACACCAUUGAAAAGGAGCUUCUAGCUAUCGUAUGGGCUUGCGAGCACUUUAGACAUUACAUAUAUAACCAACGGUUCAUCGUUUAUACCGAUCAUCGACCUCUAGUUUCGAUUUGGCGCCUUAAAGAAUCAUCUCCUACACUAACUAGAUUAAGGUUGAAGAUGCAGGGCCUCGAGUGUGACAUACGCUACAAACAGGGAAAAGAAAACGUUGUUGCAGACUUUUUAUCACGACUACCAGGAACUGAAAGCCAACAUCAUGAUAAUGAAAUAAGUAAAGCGACCAUCGCGGUAGUAACUAGACUUCAACGCAAAAAUAACGAACAAAAUGAAGUGUUGGACAGUAUUAUUACCCCAGACGAAGCGGAAAAAAAAUCAAGGUAAUGAAUUGUUCGAUAUCGAUCCUUUUCCCUGUGACGAAAAGACUGAUAGAGAAAAUGAACCAGAAAACGUAUACGAAGAAUAUUCAGAGCAAGUCAGUGAAGAUAUGAUAGACAUUGAGAAGCUCGAAAUUUCGAAUACCCUGACCAACGACGCGGCAGAUGUCAGACUGGUUAUCUUGAAUAGCAGGACGGCUCACAAGGAAAUGUCACAGUUAUGUGAACUACCACAUGGGAUAAAGGACCAUGUUGACAAAGGAUUUAUAUCUAUACCAGAUAUGACUAUCAUCGGGUUCAUUCUGAAUGGUAAAAAUAAUACGCUUAUAAAUAGUAAGAACUUCUUUUACAAGCUCCAUGAGACAUUAAGGAGAAACUUAGCCUUCAUGACUGUGUAACGGGACCCCCCCGGAUCACUUUCCAAAAUUGCAACCGAACGCGUUUACUUAAAGAUAUGUCAUCAUCUAUAAAAAUUCUCCAACACUUCUUAAAACUACACUACUUUAUUUUCCGAAUAUAAAUAUUUUAAUUUCCACAGUGCACUGAAUUAGAAAUGAACAUCUACAAAUGAAACACACUAACUGACUAUCUAAACCACUAAACUGAAUCACUAACUGCCUGAACUGAACUACUUUUUCACAAGUUUAAAUGGGAAAAGCCUAAGCAAACUGGUCUCAACUAAUUUUUCCAAGUUAACAUGGAUAACAAGAGUAGUCGAUAAGCCAAAAAUGGCGUCGAGCUCAAGCUCCAAGAUUAACAAUGGAAAAAUUCUAAACACAAACUGACUGACCUCGAUCCUUGGAUCUGCUACCCCUUAUAUAAGGGUCCUCUCCCUAACCAUCAACUCUUAUUCUCCUGAUCAUAAGUAUGAUCCGAUCAAAAUUUUCCAGGACUCUCUCCGAGACCAGAGGGAAAUUUAUUUCCAAAUGCCCCAUGCAUAAUUGAUUAUUAAUUACGCUCUUUUCUAAUCUUUGCAUCUCCCACAUCCGUGAGAGCAAUUCUAAACUCUUCCCUACACGGAUGAUCAAUUUUCCCUAUGCCUCCCAUUUCGCCAUCUCACAUCCGCGAGAUUAAUUGAGCCUCCAGAACGAAUGGCCAAUUUAUUCUCUCCUCUGAGAUUCGGACCUCCCAAAAACUCUCCCCAAAACAAAACAGAAAGGCUAAAUCUCCGAUGCAUCUUAGCAUCCCCCAUCCACAUUCUCACAUCUGUGAGAUCAUAUCAAAAUUCUGAGGGGAGCGAAAGUACUCGCGAAUUCAAUCUCAAAAUUUCUUGCCUUAGUGGCUGAGUCAUCAAGGGCCACACCAAUCAUCAUCAUCCCCGAACUUGAUUUUUCAUGAACGCACCGGGCGAUCAUAAAUUUAUAGUGUUUACUUUUCUUCGUCGCCCGUCUUAGUUUUACGAUCACUCAUGCGUUAGAAUUUUCACGCCUUCUAAGCAUGGAUGUGUGGACGGUCGUCCGAUCGAUUCAAAACAUAAUUUUACGAUCCAAUUAUGAUCGUCGUCUGUGAUUACCUUUCUUUUCGGGGAAGGUUAUGCAUUUCCAAGUUUUUUCUUGUUGCAAAAACAAUCAGAUCAUUCUUCUCAACCCAUUUUACGAUCGGAUUUCUAGGCAAUUGUUUAUUUCAUCAAGACGACCCUGUAUGUACUUGAAUUUCGUCACCCAGAAUACAGGCACAGAAGGCUUCAACAUAUGUUGAAAACCAUGCCCGAUGUUUAUGCCAUAAAAUAUAAGCCGAGAUCCCAAAAUGUUGGUUUCCCUUUCACUUACUUUGGCAUGAGCGAAAAAUGCAAAAUUGUUGCAAAUGAUUGGGGAAAAGGGUGGCGUACGCCCCAUUCCCGAGAAAUGGCAAAAAAUAUCGUUUUGGCAAUAAAUAGCUGAAUCUCAAUUCAGCGGUUUGUUGCAUUCCCUUACUUUUCCCGCAAAAAAAUUAAGAAAUUUCUCAAAAUUUCUUAAUUUUUUUAAAAUGUUGGUCAUGUUUUUGGUCCUAUGAUUUUUUUCCGAAUAAGAGUUGAUUUACAUACUGCUUUCCUUCUGCUUAUAAAUAUUAUUUUUAUAGUGCUCUUGUUUUGUUUCCAUUGAAUCUGAUUUAGUAAUGUCCCUGGCUGAUCAUUUUCAAGUUAAGUUUAAUCCUCAAAAGUUUUAUAAUAAGAUUAUUGUUCUUGUUUUUUCUUGUUAUUGUUUUUUUUUUUCUAGAUUCAUACCUGUGAUUCUAAAUGGCAACUGUUGACUCCGUAUUCCGCUACCGUUUUCGCCGUGAUAUUGUGAUAUAAAAAUACUUUGAUUUUGAUGAAUCCCGAUGUUUCGAUGUUGUUGGUCAUGGCUGAGUCUUUAAGUGAGUCAUUAGGGCAAAAACCAAGCAUCUUCUUCUCAUUGCUUCGUUGUGUUUAUCGGUGAUUAACUGUUGUGCGAUUCCCAUACUGCUUCUUUGAUUUCUCCUAAUGGUUGAUUUCCUUUGUAACGGUAAUUUUUUCCUCGUUUGUGACUUCAAUUCUACGUGAUUCUUGAAACUUUUGCUUAUUUCUGGUUCCGUGAGAAAAAUCUUGUGUCCACUUGUCUAUUCGAUUGAAAACAGGAUAUUCACGCAUAAUGUCCUUUUGAUUCCAAUUAAUAGUCUUAAAAUCAUUGUGGUGAAAAACGAAUUUUGUUGGUUGUGUUUUUUUUUCAGUAUAUCGAUUGGUUCUUGCUGCCUUAGGAUACUGUUGAAAUUUGCGUAUAUGACGACAGCUAGAAAAUGUGGCUUUUUCCUGCUGAAAUAUUUGUUGUAUUUGUCGUUAAUGCAUUUAAUGUCAUCCUUCCUCUAAUUGGUUGUGUUGCUGUUACUUGCUCAGCUAAGAACAUUUUGACUAUUUCUUUGGUGGAAAUUGUUUGUUGCUAGUGGCAAAUGCAACUUGAGAGUUAUGCUGCUGUUGAAUCAUCCACUAAUAAAUGCCGGCUACAAGAAUUUUGAUGUUUUCUCGUCCGAGAAUUGGUAUUAGGAAAUGGUUUAUGUGUUUGUGAAAUAUAAACCAGGUUGGUUAAUUUGAUGUAUGAGUGAUCAUUUUCCUUCCCAAUAGGUUGAAAUCCGCGUAUAAACACUUUCUGCAACAAUUAUCUUUGACUGUAGAAUAUAUGCUCCGUUAACCCUGAUGUUUGAUGUUUGAUGCUCAGUUUACCCUUCUGACCAACCUAAUAGACUCGCCAAUCAUGAACUCGUUGUAGAUGCUGGAACUUUUCUUUCAAUUACCGUACAUCCCUGUUAAUACGGUUCCGAUGUUGCUCGUUGAGCUCUGAUUGAUGAUUUCUGGAACUUUUUCUUUCAUUUUCCAUACAUCCAUGUUUGUAUGGUUGAAGUUUAAGCUUGUUGCCUUUGAAUUAUUGUCUUAUUAUUCACCUUUCCUAAUGACCUAUGUUUUCUCUUGAUUCUUAUUCAUCUAGAAGCUUCAAACGACUAUUUUGCUUAUUAAUUAUGAGCACUUUACAAUUGAUAUAUUUUUAUUGAACACACGUUAUUAUGAAAAAUUUUCCAACAAAUUCCCUUAAUUGACAAAAGCCAUGCUAAUUGAAAUUUUCAUCUCCCACCAUAAAUGGAAAAAAAUUUCCAACAUUUACAAUUAUUUGAAAUAAAAUCAAUUUCCCUUCCUGUAUAAAUGUUAAAAAAAAUCUUGUUUAACAUACCCGCAGUUUAUCAAAAAGUUUUUUAACUUAAACAUUUGAAAAUUAAUUUCGCAAAAAUAAUCCCCACGUUUCUGUAUUGUGUUAUGUGACAAUAUUUCAUAAUUUUGUACUUUUCGGUAAAAGAGAACUUAGCUCUUACAUUUGCUCCUGAAAAAAAAAAUAUAUAUAUAUGUUGGUUAGUCUUCUGAUUUCUUACCCAUAUUUGUUCAUUAACAUCAACUACACGAUCGCUUCUUCUUCAUCCUGUGUCCGUCGCAUUUGAUCUAUCAUCUCUUCUUCUUCUCUCUUAUGUGUCUGUUGCUUGUACUGCUGAAUUUCAAUUAAUGCUUUUUUAUGCGUCUUCUUCUGUAGAUGAACAAAUAGUUUAGAUUUUAUUUUUGGUUUCAGCACUUUUAUUCUUAUUCUUCCUUAUAUCGACUUGGUCAUAAAUUAUCGAUUUGAAUCAUUGAUGCAUGUUAAAAUCAAUUUUUUUUGUAUAUUCAUGAUGUUUUUAUAUGAUUUUCAUUUUUUUUUAAUAUUUGGAACAGGCAAGACCGACAGUCUUAUUCUUAUCUUUGGGAGCAAUAUUUGGCUGUUUUUUUUUUCAUUCAAGAACUUUAUCGUACCAUUACAGUACCGUACCUUGAUGAAAUCAGGAAGUUUGUUUUUCCUGGUGGUAGCUGGGUAUACCAAACCGAACCAUUUUUCAUUUUCUUUGUUUACCAUAACGUUUUCUUUUUUGAUUGUUUUUCGUUUCAUGGUCAUGUUAUUCAUUCAAGAACUUUUUUGUAUCGCUGGAUACAGUACCUUGACGAAUCAGGAAUGUCUCUAUUCCUGGCGGUAGCUUGGUUUACCAGACCAGACCAUUGAUUUAUUUAUUUAUUUUUUUUUUCAUUUCUGGACCCAAGGUAUUCAUUAUUGUUUGAUGGCUUAUUUAUUAUUCAUUCAAGCACUAUGUGUAUCAAUGGAUACAGUACCUUGAUGAAUCAGGAAUGCUGCAUUCCUGGUGGUAGCUUGGUUUACCAGACCGCGCCAUUUUCGUUUUUUAUCGAUUCUUCGUUUCUUCGCGUUUUUUGUUUUUUUAUCAUUUCGUGGCAUAUUUAUUUCAUUUAUUAUUUAUUAUUCAUUCAAGAACUUUUUAGUAUCGUUAGAUACAGUACCUUGAUGAAUCAGGAGUGCUGUAUUCCUGGUGGUAGCUAGGUUUACCAAACCAUGCCAUUUUCGUUUUUCCGUUUUCUUUAGCAUAGUUUUUUUUUUCAUAUUUCAUGUUUUAUAUUUCUUGGCAUAUUUAUUAAGCAUAUUAUUUAUUAUUCAUUCAAGAACUUGUUAGUAUCGUAAGAUACAGUACCUUGAUGAAUCAGGAAUAUUGUCAUUCCUGGUAGUAGCUUGGUUUACCAAACCUCCGAUAUUCUGUACUUUAGCAAUGUGGGGAAAACAAAACUGUCCAAUUCCAUACUUUUCAUUUUCAAACAUCUCGUUUAAUAUAUUCUGCACAUUCAUUCUGGUGUGGCCAACACCUUGUCCAAUCAUUCAUUCUUGCAAACAAACAUAGGUAAAUAGAUAAAACUAUUGCCUGACUUUUAACUUUCCAAAUGGUACAGAAUUUGACGACUCGUCGACAAUGUAAUUUCCAUUAUAUGCCAUAUUUUUUUUUUUAGUUUCCGAUGCCAGAUUUAGUUUUUUUUUGUAUAUUUUUAUCUUUAUCUUUCUCUAUCCAAUGGAUAUGGUGCACCUUGGUCCGAAUAAUGUUCAUAUGAAUUUGUAUUAAUUGUAUUAAUGGUUCUGUAUCAGCCUCCGGUUGUAUGUAUUUGUCCCUUUAUUCGUUGUUUUUUAUUAUUAUUUUAUUUUAUUUUUUUGACUUGUCGUAUUCAAAUUAGAAGUAUUCAGCUCAUUAUCGACCUGCUAGAAUUUCGUUACGAUUUUUUUUUGUAAUAGGGGUAUUUAGUUCAUUUUCGUUAAAAAAUUUCCCAUGGUAUAAACAUGCAUCAAUGUUCAUUAUUUCAUUCAUGAAGAUUUUGGUAGUGUCUCUGUCAUUACUAUGUGAUCUAUUACCUAGGAAACUCGCUAUUAUGUUAUUAAGCGAUACUUUGCUUUAUCAUUUUUGUUAAAAAUAAAAUCUGCAAAUUGAUAGCGCGCUUAAAGCAGCAAUACGAUCGACCGGUGUACUCAUUCUCAAAAAAUACAUGUAUUACUCGUUUCCGUAUAUCUUAAACGUUUUAUUUUAUGUUAUUAUUCCUUAUUUUCAUGAUUUAGUAAUUAGUUCAAUCAGAUGUAUUUUUACCUAUAUAUUACACAAACUUAAAAAUUUCAUUACUGUUGUAGCCCAAUCAUUUAUACUUUGUUAUGCGAUUGUUUUCUCGAUUUGUUCUCGUUUUUUAACCCAUACAUUUGCAAUGAACUGAAGGUAUAAUCUAAUUGAUCCCUAAUCAAUGAUGAGAAAAAAAACAAGAGGCGAAUCUAUUCUUGUUUGUUUUUACCACAUGUUUCUUCCCUUGGAAAAUUAAAUCCAUUAUGUUUAUUGCAAACACACUUCUUCACUCCUUCUCUUCGCACACGAAGGCAUUGACACCCAAAAAUUCUACAGCAACAGUAAUUGCUGCGACAACAGUAAGUGGCUUGUGACGAUAGAAAAUGUGCAUCUGCAAGCAAAACGAAAACGUUGUCGCGUCUCUUUCCUUAUCCGUGAUAGCCGAAAGAAGAGAAAACAAAUUUCAGCUUCAUUCCGUUUUCGACUUGCAGUGCUAUAGGAUACCGGAGAAAAGAACAUGGGAUGUCACAUCGUCUUUAUUUGGGACAUGCAACUUAAAGAAUGCUCAGAAGUUAACCAGGUCAUUCGAUGGGACCUAGGCGUGUUCCGUGCAGUGGACUAUAUCUACCCGUACAACAAGGCCGGGGAUUCAGAGUGCGCGAAAAAAAAACAUAUCCAUAGAAAUUUAUGUCAAAUAAAUUUCGAAUCAUUCUAAUCCAUUUCUAAGUGCUUUUAAUAUUUUUAGUUAUUAUUAUUUUUUUUUAUUUUAGAUAUUGUAUUGAUGUAUUCAAUAGUAGUGUCAAUGUGGGAACGAAAAAGGGAAAAAAAGGCAAGUUUUUUUUUCUUCCUUAUUAUUACUUUUAAGUUUAAAAUUUCAUAAAUGUUGGAGUUUAUUUUUUUUCGUAAGAUAUUUUUGUGUUAAACAACUUUCCAGAUUCUAAAAUUGGAAUGUUUUGAACCUUUACGUUAUUUGAAAAUUACAUUGCCUGACAAACUAUUGAAUAUUUAUUCUCAUAUUUCCCAAAUGAUCAAUGGACUUGAACGUUUAAACAUUUUUUUGCUUCCAAUGUACACAUCUAGCGAAAGACCGUGAAAUUCUUUCAAGAUUGUGUCACUAUUUCCUGACACCUAAGCAUUCUCUCUGAAUUGGAAAAAUGGAUUUUUUUUCAAUGUGACAUAACCUGUCCAAAUAUUGUGAAGGCUUUAUUUUUCUGAAUGCAAUAACAAAAUUUGAAGUACCUAAAAUAUUCCUCAAGAUGUCUUUCAAACUGGUAAACAAAUAACAAAAUUUUAAAUAGGACUAUUUCGAUCCAAUCAUAAUGGUUUCCCAAAGUUUUUCUUUCGUAUGGACAUUUCAUUACCUGACAGAAAGUUUUUAUUCCCAUUUAUGCAAUUCCCAUCUUGCAAUUAAGUUAAUUGAAUGCAGUUCUUUUAAUUAAAGUCGAUAUUUAAACAACAACAUUUUCUAGAUUUGUAUCUUGAAUGUUAUGAUAAUCAUAUUAUUUUUGUUUUAAGGUUCUUGCUAUUUUCAGGAUAAAUAUUUAAAUUAUUUUGUUUCAUUUUUCAAAACAUUUUAAACUUGGCAUACAUUUUCAUGCCAUUCCUGCAUUAUUAUUCAACAAUAACUAUAUCAUCCAGAUAAAUGAUGGUUAAAAUUAUCCUUGAUUUUAUAGUUUCCAAGAAUUCGAUUUUUUUUCAUGUUGCAUUUAAGGGAGUCCUGAUAACCUUGUUUAAUUUUUUUAGUUUUUUUUUUGCAAAUUUGUGUCUGCUAAAAAAAAUCGGUAGACACAAACGUUUGAAUUUCCCUUUAGAUUUAAAUGAAGUUGUUUAUUGUGAAAUUUGGCAGGAAAUUGAUUGGCACAAAACUCAUCGAGAUACAAAAAUGUCUGCAAUGCAUCUUGAAAUCUAUUGAGUUUUGGAAUGCAGUGGGAAGUGUUGAGAAGUUUUGUUGAACUGCUGCAGACAUUGCUCAAAAAAAUGCAAAUUGCUUGCAGCUGGUAAUUGCUUGGUAAAAAAAUGUAAACAUCAUAAUUCGGAAUAUUUUUAUGUUUUAUUUUUUUUUUAUUUGCCAAAAUCUCUAUUUAUUAUUGCUUUGAAUUCCAUGAUUGCAAAUUUGUUUAAAGGAAUUUACAGCAUAAAUAGAACAUAAUAGAUGGUUAAAAAGCAUUCAUAUGCUUACAUUACUUUCCUCACUUCUGUUGUGUAUAGUAGCCUUGAAUUCACGAUUAUAAUUUUUCGAUUUAUCAAAAAGGUUUGUUCAAAUUCUUAACUGGAACACGCUUUUUGACUCUUUAGUUUUUUAGAUAUACAUACAGUUCAUUUGCACACGAAAAAAAUAGUUAAAAACAACGUGUGGAAGUUAACCGAAUGUUUGUAAAUUAUUCAAAAGUUUGCUGUUGUCCACUUUAAGAGUUCGUUUAAUUUCAACUUUAACAGAUUGGAUCAUUUUGAUUAUUUGCUUGCACUACAUUUUUAGUUGCACGUAAACAGUUCCUUGAUUUGCACAGUUUCGCACCAGUCAGAAAUGACGCACCAAAUUUCUUCUAAAACGGAAAUUCUUUUCCGCUGUCACCAACUGUAACGGGACCCCCCCGGAUCACUUUCCAAAAUUGCAACCGAACGCGUUUACUUAAAGAUAUGUCAUCAUCUAUAAAAAUUCUCCAACACUUCUUAAAACUACACUACUUUAUUUUCCGAAUAUAAAUAUUUUAAUUUCCACAGUGCACUGAAUUAGAAAUGAACAUCUACAAAUGAAACACACUAACUGACUAUCUAAACCACUAAACUGAAUCACUAACUGCCUGAACUGAACUACUUUUUCACAAGUUUAAAUGGGAAAAGCCUAAGCAAACUGGUCUCAACUAAUUUUUCCAAGUUAACAUGGAUAACAAGAGUAGUCGAUAAGCCAAAAAUGGCGUCGAGCUCAAGCUCCAAGAUUAACAAUGGAAAAAUUCUAAACACAAACUGACUGACCUCGAUCCUUGGAUCUGCUACCCCUUAUAUAAGGGUCCUCUCCCUAACCAUCAACUCUUAUUCUCCUGAUCAUAAGUAUGAUCCGAUCAAAAUUUUCCAGGACUCUCUCCGAGACCAGAGGGAAAUUUAUUUCCAAAUGCCCCAUGCAUAAUUGAUUAUUAAUUACGCUCUUUUCUAAUCUUUGCAUCUCCCACAUCCGUGAGAGCAAUUCUAAACUCUUCCCUACACGGAUGAUCAAUUUUCCCUAUGCCUCCCAUUUCGCCAUCUCACAUCCGCGAGAUUAAUUGAGCCUCCAGAACGAAUGGCCAAUUUAUUCUCUCCUCUGAGAUUCGGACCUCCCAAAAACUCUCCCCAAAACAAAACAGAAAGGCUAAAUCUCCGAUGCAUCAUAGCAUCCCCCAUCCACAUUCUCACAUCUGUGAGAUCAUAUCAAAAUUCUGAGGGGAGCGAAAGUACUCGCGAAUUCAAUCUCAAAAUUUCUUGCCUUAGUGGCUGAGUCAUCAAGGGCCACACCAAUCAUCAUCAUCCCCGAACUUGAUUUUUCAUGAACGCACCGGGCGAUCAUAAAUUUAUAGUGUUUACUUUUCUUCGUCGCCCGUCUUAGUUUUACGAUCACUCAUGCGUUAGAAUUUUCACGCCUUCUAAGCAUGGAUGUGUGGACGGUCGUCCGAUCGAUUCAAAACAUAAUUUUACGAUCCAAUUAUGAUCGUCGUCUGUGAUUACCUUUCUUUUCGGGGAAGGUUAUGCAUUUCCAAGUUUUUUCUUGUUGCAAAAACAAUCAGAUCAUUCUUCUCAACCCAUUUUACGAUCGGAUUUCUAGGCAAUUGUUUAUUUCAUCAAGACGACCCUGUAUGUACUUGAAUUUCGUCACCCAGAAUACAGGCACAGAAGGCUUCAACAUAUGUUGAAAACCAUGCCCGAUGUUUAUGCCAUAAAAUAUAAGCCGAGAUCCCAAAAUGUUGGUUUCCCUUUCACUUACUUUGGCAUGAGCGAAAAAUGCAAAAUUGUUGCAAAUGAUUGGGGAAAAGGGUGGCGUACGCCCCAUUCCCGAGAAAUGGCAAAAAAUAUCGUUUUGGCAAUAAAUAGCUGAAUCUCAAUUCAGCGGUUUGUUGCAACUGAAGCAAAAAAUCUCCAUGUCAUUUUUUUUCGAAAAAUUAAGCAAUUCGAGAUAUUAGGAAUGCUUCAAUUUACGGCAGGCAAAUUUAAUAAACACAUGUCUUUGUACAAUGCUGAAUCAGAACGCAUUCCAGUAGAAAAAAAUCAAGUCGAAACCAUCCUUCGCGAAUUCCAUGAUGCACCCCUAGGCGGUCAUGUAGGAGCCAGACGAAUGAGGAACAGGUUUAAAACCCUAUUUACAUGGGAAAAUAUGAGGCGAGACAUAGAGAAUUACACAAAACAAUGUGCACGGAGACAAAUUUCGUUCGUUUGAAACAAAAAUAUUCAUGUUUAUUCGGUAAACUGAUAAAAUAUUUAAAACUAAAAUAUUAAUUUUUAAAACAAACUCAAUUACAUAUUGAUUUCUCCAAUACCCAUUGAAGAGCCCCCCGUUCCGCCGUCGAGAACAUAAACAAAACUCUCAAGUUCCAGCUGCAUCACCAAACAAGUUUUCCUCUUGCAAAAAAAGGCAAGUUUCACCAAAAGUUUCCACGAAAUCCCAUUGAUUUCGGGAGCGUAUGUUAUCUACAUGAUGUUGGCAUUGAAAGUGCCACGCGGGAAGUGGAUUUUCCUAGAGAAGGAAAUAAUUUUGUUAAUUUAAUUGGAAAACAAAUAUUUCCGUAGGGCCGACCUGCCACAAAAAAACAAAAAUUUUUACAUUUGUUUCUAACAUUACCAGUCAGAAGAUACAUGUUUGUUUCAAAAAUGGAUUGAAUUUGCUUCAAAUGUGACGUUCGAUUUGCUCCAAACAGUUUUAUUUUUGUUGCCAGAACAAAUUGACAAUUUAUUUGAGUUUACCUGGAAUAUUUUUGAUUUUACCAUGCUUUUUUCUGCGUGUGACUCGUGUCAAAAGAAUAAAAUCAGGAAAGCCCACAAAAUCCCAAUGAAGAUCACGACCACAUCCAUAGAACCUUUUGAAAAAGUUUAUAUGGAUGUUGUUACCUUACCGGAUUCAAACAAUGGCAAUAAAUACGGUUUAGUUAUACAGUUUACGAGAUAUCUAACAGUCGCUGCCAUGGCAAAUCAAGAAAGCCACACCGUAGCCAAAACAUUUGUAGAUAACUUCAUAUGUAAAUUUGGUGCCCCUAUGGAACUCGUAACCGAUAACGGUGCAAAUUUCGUUAGCAAACUGAUGAAAAACGUUUGCAAAAUUUUGAAAAUAAAGAAAAUUACAACCACAGCAUACCACCCACAGGCAAAUCUCGUUGAAAGGUCCAAUAGGGAAUUGAAAAUCUAUUUACGGCAAUUUAUUGGUGGAGAUCCUCAAACAUGGGAUCAACUCCUUCCACACUUCACAUUCCAGUAUAACACCACGAUCAAUUCGUCAACUGGUUUUACACCAUUCGAAUUGUUAUAUGGCAGAGCCGCAAGAAUUCCGAACUCAAUCUACAAGAUGAGAGAUAUGGAAUUGACCUAUUCCGAUUACGCCGAUGAGCUCAAAUCCACCUUAAAACGCCUUCACGAUAAAUCACGAGAAAAUCUGCUAAUAUCGAAAAAAGAAACGAAAGGAGAUUUAUGACAAGAAAUCAAAGGAAUGACAGCCAAUGUGGGGUGACAGGGUCCUUGUAUGAACAUAGCACGAAAUUAAUCCCAGCGUUAAGUGAAAACAUUUCAAAAAUUUCAUUCUACGAUCGUAAGAAACUUUUUGACCUAGGAGUCGAUGUAGAUGUUCUCAAAAUUGAGAAACCUUUUCUGGAAAACUUAAUUUACUCACCCCUUUCUUCGUGGUGGACAGUUACAACCGUAGGAACAGGCGCAUUGAUAAUGUUAGUAUUUUUAAUUGUUCUUUUUAUCUGCUGCUUUAGAGGACGAAUAUCGUGUUCGAAUCAGAGCGGGUAUAACUCUACUGAUCCAAUCAAACCGAGACCAAGUUGUCCCCCUCCUCAAAAGCCCACAAUAAGGAGUAAAGAUAUAGUUCACUUAGGGGUUAUCACCCCACAGGAAACGGUCCGACACGAUGAGCUAAUAGGGAAAAUGAUGGAUAUUUUGUCGAAUCCAGAGAUGAAGUCUCAUGGAACAAUUGUAACAUAAUUAUGUUACGGAGAGAAGGUAGCCGAAGCCUACCGAUAACACAAGUUUACAAAAUAAAACGAAAGUCGUGAACUUCUGUCAACGACCAAAAUUUUUGAACCAUAAUUUAGUGCUGAUUUCGAAACCGACCAUCAAAAUUUUUUAAGUAGAACAGUUUUUGAGUUUUAGCUCAAUAUCGAGUUUUGCAACUUUUCAAAAUAUGUAAUUUACUAAAAUUCAAAUAUAUUGUGUUUUGUUCAACCAAUUUUAAAUCUUUUUCCAUAAAUUGAAAGCUGAAUACAAUACCAUUCGAUCAUCUGAAUACAGGUUUUGCGUCAGAUUGAUGAAAUUCAAGAUAUUGGCGAGUUUUAGGUACGAUCUUCUUAAAUUUCAGCAAAAUUCCCAAAAAUUUUUGAAGAAAUGUAUUUUUUUCAAUAAGAAAAAAAACAACUUAAAAAUUCUCUUUCGACGUUUAUUUGACAUAUCAUAUGUAGGCGAGUUACAGUAAAAAUUUCAGAUCAAUCGAAGCAUUGAUUACGGAGAAUGAGAUGUUUGAAGUGAGCGACUUUGCUUAAAAAUAGAACAAAAAUCGAUUUCAAAUCAUCAACCUUGUAUGGAAAGUCGAAAAAAAUUCCGCUCUACUGUAAUUUUUUUCUUUCGCGUUUUCGAACUCAGGGCAUGAUUCUACACCAGAAAUGAUCAUCAGCUUACCGAGUUCAAAAAUGCUGUAAACUAGUGUAAUAGAAGAAAUAGAGAGUGACUACAUGAUACCAACCACAUUAACUAUUACAGAAAGAGAGAUUGAUAUGAAUAAUAUCAGUGCAAAUAUAAGCGAAAAUCAUAUUCAUCUGUCACCGCUCAGGAUAAAGUGGUAAAUUGAAUAAAUGAAAAAUGAGAGGAAUUUCAUACCCUCAAUAAAUACAAAAUGAAAAUUAAAAGUGAAAUGGAGAGGUAUUUCAUACCCUCUAUAAUUAUAAAAUGAAAAUUUAAUUGAAAUGAGAGGAAUUUCAUACCCUCUAUAAAAAUAAGUGAACAUUAAUUAAAAAUGAGAGGAAUAGAAUACCCUCAGUAAAUAUAAAAUGAAACAUUAAAAGGGAAGUAAGAGAGGAAUUACAUAACAAAAAAAAAUAUUGAUAAACUAUGAGCCUACAGCUAAUUUAUAACAAUGAAUGCGUCCGUCAAACUCAGUUUUGAAUGUACCGAAGGGCUGGAAAACCAGAGUAACUACUAUUCUGUAAGGGCCAUAGAUAUCAAAGAACAAAGAGAAAUAAAUAAUUAAGGAGAGGAAAACACACCCUCCAGAAAUACAUAAAAUACAAGGAAAUAAUUGAAGAAAAAUAAUAAAGAAGAGCAAUACACACCCUUCAAUAACAUAAUAAACGGAAAAUUUGAACGAAAGGAGAGAUGAUUCAGGAGAGGAACACGUACCCUCCAAUGAUUUAAUAGUACAUAAACUAAUACGAGAGCAAAAUUAAGCGUUUUUUUUAACGAAUAUGAAAACUUAAGAGAAUUAAGAGAGGAUUUACAAAAGCCCUCUGAAAAUUUAAAUGAAAUUAUGAGAAAAUUAAAAACACAGAAAGGAGACAAAGCAAAUGUCUACAAAUUUUGACGAAAGAGGAAAUCCAAAACCUCUACGAAAUAAUGAAAUAUUAAGAGAGAUUAGAGGAACCCAUAUCCUCUGUAAGAAUAAUAUGGAAUGAUAUUUACAAUGUGGUUUUAUACACAAGUUAAUCAAGAGAAAUGGAGUAUACUUACAGGCCCAACCUACAACCUCAAAAGGGAAAGGGGUGGAGCAAUGCCGGCAGCCAAGGACUUGCCACAACAAACGGAGAAGGACGAAAAAGUAAGGUACCUAGAGACUCGGUGAGUUCAUUUUAUUUUUAAGCUUUUGCGGAUAUGCAAGAGAGAUAAAUAGAUUAUUGCCUUGCAUCCCUGCAACAUUAUGAUGUAGUAUGUAAGUUUGUUGUUUGUUGUUGUUGAAAUCCAGAUUUGAUGGAAUAUAAAAUGCAAAUUGUUUUUGGUUGACAGAAAUGAUCUUCUGAAGAUGUUUCAAUUGUGAUCAAUUGUUUUUUUUUUCCUUACUUUCAAGUUUGUCACAUAAUUUGCCGAAGGCAUAAGGCUAAUGAAGUAGGCCAAUUCAUGGUGAAAUAUUUGAUUAAUAUUACACAUGUUAAACCUAUUAAGAAAAAAGGCAAAAAAAAACAUUUUUCGAAAAAAAAACAAUAUUUGAAAAUAUAUAUUAAAAAAAACAAUAUUCGAAAAAAAAGUAAGAUAUGUUCAAAAAAAAAAACAUUCGAAAAAAAAGUAUUUCGAAAAAAAAAUAAUUAAAUGCCUUUUUUUAAAAGUUAACAAAAUAUAGUUCGUAUUUAAUUCGUACUUUUUAAUCUUUAAAAAUAAGGGAGUAUUUCUUUUACUAUUUAUUGGAGUGAUUAACUUAAUUGAUAUAGGAGACGGAAUUUGAAUUUUUCGUAGGGACAGAAUAGGGUCAGAAGGAUCAUGGAGCGGUAGUCUGCGAUGCUAGUCAUGCCGACAAGGACGAGCCGUUGGGAGUUGCCCGAUUAAGACGAACAAGGUUUACACGUUUGAAGGUGAUGGUUUAGCGCCGAUGGAGAAAUGCUGGGCUGUUGCUGCUUAAAUUGCCAUGUUAGACCGGAAAUCCUAGUCUUUGAUUUCGGGAGUAAGUUAUGCAUUUGGAAUAGGAAGAAUAUUCCGAGCUGUGCCAAGGGAGGAGUCAUUAGGCAUCUGAAAUGCUGAAAUAUGACAUGUGCCAGCUGAAUCCGACAAACUUCACGGAGUUGAAUGGUGACAUGGAAGAGACACUCGACGAAUCUCUGAGAGUGGUUCGAUGGAAUGGGAAUGGUGAUAGGUAGCUAAAACUACUCAACACAUGAAAACGACUUUGUGCAGAUAGAAGGUUGUUGGUUACGUACGUGCAAUGGAAGGAUGUUGGUUACUAUUUGGGAGGUACUCCGAGUUUAAAGAAUAUGGCGGUUGGUUGAGAGAUUUCGUUCAAUGGACAACCCUUCAAAUAACCCGUUUUUGGUGCUUGAAAUCUAGUUUCGGUCGAUGAAACUUCUAUUGCAACACAAACACGAAGUGGCAUUUUGAUAGACUUGAGCGUCUGGAGGAAGGUUAAUCAUCUUAGAGUAGGGAAAGAAAUAAGGAUUAGUUUAGUUCGUUUUUGCAAGAGAAAAAAAAACUUAGUUAUAUUUUUGUUCUAGAAAAGGUAGAAUUGAAUAAUGUAGAGUAGUCCUUGGGAUAAUCUUUAACCCGCAAAUGUAUACGCUAGCUGCUUCACAAAUAAAAACUUAAUUUAAGGGGGGGGCAGCAUUUCCCUCCCAGUAUUGAAUAAUUCUAAAGAUCAAUGAUCACCAUUGAUCUAAGAAAGACCCUUUAUUUCCCCAUGGUGCUGAAACAAGCAAUGCAAGCAGAGAGAAUGCUUACUGCUUGUUGCUGGUUGACCUGGUGAUGUAACGUUCUCGCUCCAAUGCCGGAGAAAUGUUUUCGUUUUAAUUUUUGUUUGCCGCCCGGCAGCGCUGACUGAACCCCAACAAGGUCUCAGUCACGUGGCCGAACUAAUGAAGCCAGAGCGGACGACGCCCGGUUUUUCUUUUCUCUUUUCUCUAAUUUCUUUUCAGAUCGGUAGAAUGAGUUCUUGCGACGGCAAGUUAAAAUACCCGCGAUUGACACCGGGGCGUUGUUGUAUUGUUGUGGUGUCGUUGUCCGGUGGGAUCGUUUGCGGCGUGAGUUUGGUUGGAGUUUCGGUUCGCGGGUGUGGUGCAUCGAUUUUAUUAUUACAUACAAUCUAUCUUUAGUUAAUAAAGUGUUUGUAGUUUGUUUCAGUGUACCUAGAGUUACAUUAAGUGAAACGAAAGAAAGCCAGUGCCGUGACCACCACGGCUAUACAAGUAAGGACCUACAAUUUAAUCAUCAUAGUAGUUUCAAAAAUGUAAGUUUAUUUUAUUUUUAAAUGUAAAUAAAAAUACAUUUAAACCUGAUAUAUUGAAAAGCCAAAAAUUAUAGUAAACCGGCUGUGCGGCUUUUUGAUACACAGCUCCAUAGAGAAGUCCCCCGUUAUGUGUAUUGGGGCCUCUUUUGCCAGUUAAUUUUUCAAGUUGUUUAGAAUCUUCCCCGGCUCGAAAAAAAAAAACGCAAAUGUUCACGCCAAUCGUUUUAGAUAUUUCCGAGUUUAUAAGGAUAAUACAGACAGACAGAAACUCAUUAUUAACCCGGGAGCGGUCGUGUCGUGUACUGAGUACACGCGCCAUGAAAAAUACACGCUUGUGGUAUACAACGUGAGCGUGACUUCGCUGCAGGUGGUCGAAGACGCGACUGCUCGAGGGUUAAAUGUAUAAAUUGAUAGGCGUGCGCUACUAAUACAUGUUUUAUCCUUCCAAAUUAUGGAAAUCGCCAACAAUACGAUUUAAUCUAAUGAUUUAUCAUACGGAUUCUAAAACAGAGCCUCAACGACACCAUACACGACGUAAUGAUGCACUUUUAGUGUAAUACUGCGUAUGUAAACUCGUCCCUGACAGUGGUUUCCAACGAGUACUGAAAUUUGGAGUUUAGACGUCUCACGAUUUCAAACGGUAAUUUGUUAACUGCCCUUCGUUUCAUCCGUGUUUGGCAGCCUUCUUUUAGGAGAAAUAGACCUAAUUUUCCAUAGAAGAAGACUGCCAAACACAGCCAAAACGUCGGCUAGUUAGCAAAGCACCGCUUGAAUUCGUGAGACUGAACAAAAUUUUGGUAAUCAAAUUGAUAACCUAAUUCUGAUCUUCACGAUCGUCAUAAAAUCCUAAAUUUGGGAAUGAACAAUUGUGAAUAAAAUGCAGUGUUGUAAUUUUAAUUGGUACAUUAUCGUCAUUCGUACUCACGAUGUGCAACGAAAAGAAGGUGAUAUUGUCAGCCAGUCGAGUGAAAGUUUUACCUUUUUCCAAAAGCUAGACUUUGCAAAUACUGGCGUGAGUGAGAAAUGGAUAAUGAGAAGGGCAAAUGACGAAAAGGUAACUUCCCCUCUCAGUAAGACUCGAAAUAGUACAAUACCAUCACUGCCAUUAUUAACUUGAGAAUUUAAAUUGAUUGAAACAAUGUUGAGCAAUACUUCAUGUAAAUAUAAUAAAUUACUUACACCCCUCUGCCUCCAAACAAAUCUCCUCAACGGUUAAGCGUCAUAAUUUCAAUCAAUGUUUAAAUAUGCUCAAACAUUUUUAAAAAUUAUGGGUCUUUGGCAACAAGCAAAGCUGAUCUCGUAGAAUCACGUGCGAUAUUUAUUUCAAUUUUGAAUUUCACAGCGUAACAAAAAUUAACUUUUUGUCUGUCUCAAGAGCAAACUUAUGUGUCUCCGAAGGAUUUUGGGCCGCUGAAUCCGAAUCAAGGCUCAGAUUUGCUCUAACACGUCACAAUUUUGAGCUAUACCUCAAUUUAUAGGGCAAAAUAUGCGAUUUUGGGCUUUUUUGACUGCAAGCGCUCAAUAGCGAGGAAAUAUUUUUUUAAGCAAUCGAAAGGUAAAUUGGUCAAUUAACAUCUAAUUGAACGACUUAUGCAAAAUAUUUCGUUUUACCAAAUCGAAUUUGAUAGUUUUAAGCGAUUUAUGUUAGGACGAUAUUUCCCAUACAAGUCACCCUCCAAAAGUUGUAUGCAAGUUUUCAUACUAACAUAAAACGCUUAAAUCUAUCAAAUUUUAUUAGGUUAAACGAAAUAUUUUGCAUGAGUCGUUAAUUUAGAUGUUAAUUGACCAAUUAACCUUUUGAUUGCUUAAAAAAAUAUUUCCUUGCUUAAUGGCUUGCAGUCAAAAAAGCCCAAAUCGCAAAUAUUGCCCUAUAAAUUGAGGUAUAGCUAAACAUUGUGACGUGUUGGAGCAAAUCUGAGCCCGGAUUCGGAUUCAGCGGCCCAAAAUCCUUCGGAGACACAUAAGUUUGUUCUUGAGACAAAAAAAUGUUGCGCUGUGUUUUUGGUCACUUACACCCCUCUGCCUCUAACCCCCUCAGUUGUUUUAAUUUAAAAACAAUAAAACUCGAACAGAACCCUUCUUACACUUUAAAAAAUUAUUGUUGUAUUAUUUGUAUUUAACAUAUUUAUUUUGUGUAAUUGACCAAAAGUUCUAGAAAAUAUUGUGGAUUUGGCAUCUAGUGGAUUGGUUUCCAAAAUAGCAUCAUGGACUAUGGACUAAACUACCAGAAAUGCUAGACACCUCCUAGAAUAUUGUAUGGAAUGUUUAAAAAAUAGCUUACAUAUUCUGGAAUAUUGUAUCUUUUGUUAACUGCCAAAAGAUCUUGAAUCGAUUAACAAAUGCGUAAGAAAAUCAGCGAGAUACACUCUGUCUAAUAUCUCUUAAUCAGUCGAAUAAAUUAGCUCCGAAGUACUUGGUAUUCAUGGUUAAGGUGAAGGAAGGACAAUAAUCAUAUAUCUACUAAGUUAAUCAGUUUUGGCAUUAGCUAGUUAUUUUGGCUGUCCGGUUUUUGCAUUUUUCCCACAAUAUAUAAAUUCAAUGCUUUCAUUUAACAUAUUGUUAGUUUUCAUAGAAUUCCUGUGUAUUUGUAAUUUGUUAUUUAUAAUUUUGUUGAAAACAAUAACCUGCUAGUAUAUACUUUGUAUGAGGUCAGCAUUAUUUAUUGAAAAAUAACUUCCCAUAGACUGGUCAAAAACUAAUGCAAGAUAACAAAUAAAUAUAAUAAUAAUAAAAAAGAAUUUAUUGAAAUACUCUUCGUAAGAUAUCUCAGUAAUCAAAAGUCGAAUCGAAAUAAAAUUUCAGGGCCUUAUACAAGGAUAUUGUAGCUUUCAUUUGGUGGGUAGAGAACCCAAAUCGGUUGACAGACGGGUGAGAUAUUUAUUAUGGUACCCUUGGUCAAAAAUCUCUCAAAAAGUUAACCUGUAUUACUCCCAAGUACUCUUUGAAAGAUAUCUCGGUAACCAAAUGUCCAAUCGUAAUGAAAUUGUAUAGGGUUCUACUAGAAUGUUGUAGCUUUUAUUUGGUGCCAGGAGAACCGAAAUCGGUUGACAGGCGGCUAGGACAUUUAUUAUGAUACACUUGGUCAAAAAUCUCAAAAGGUUUAGUUGUAUAAAUCCUAAUUAUUCUUCGAAUGAUAUCUCUGUAAUCAAAUGUCCAAUCGAAAUAAAAUUUCUGGGCGAUCUACUAGGAUGCUGUAGCUUUCAUUUGGUGCCAAGAGAACCCAAAUCGAUUGACAAACGGCCGAAAUAUUUAUUAUGAUACACUUGGUCAAAAAUCUUAAAAAGUUAAGAUGUAUGACUCAUAAGUACUCUUCGAGAGAUAUCUCGGUAACCAAACGUCCAAUCGAUAAAAAAAAUCAAUUGCGUUCUACUAGGAUGUAGUAGCUUUCAUUUGCUUCCAAAAGAACUCAAAUCGGUUGACAGACGGCUGAGAAACGCGCGUGACUUUUUGUAACGCACAUACACACACACACAUACAGAUAUUUGCUCAGUUCGUCGAGCUGAGUUCAUUGGUAUAUGAGACUCGGCCCUCCGGGCCUCGGAUCGAAAGUUGGUUUUUCGAGCGAUAUUUAUACCCUUCUUAUGGGUUGCUUGUUUACUGAAUUGGGUCUCCAGUUAGCCUAGUGGUUAAGGCUAUGGAUCGCCAAUCCGGAGACGGCGGGUUCGAUUCCCGUUCCGGUCGGGAAAAUUUUCUCGACUCCCUGGGCAUAGUGUAUCAUUGUGCUUGCCUCACAAUAUACAAAUUCAUGCAAUGGCUGGCAAAGAAAGCCCUCCAAUUAAUAACUGUGGAAGUGCUCAAAGAACACUAAGUUGGAGAGAGGCAGGCCAAGUCCCAGUUGGGACGUAGAGCCAUAAAGAAGAAGAAGAAGAAGAAGAAGAAGAAGAAUGGGUGUAAGAAGGGUAAAAAUAAGUUUAUAGGGGAGUUUGGGUGAACUAAGCUCUAAAACUAUAUGCUGCCGUCACCUCCCGUCUAUGGGGCUAUGCGCAAACAAUAUUUAGGAUAUUUUUGGAGUAUAUAAGCAAUGGCUCAUCGUUUGGAAAUGUUUGGAAUCGGUGGUAUAAGGAUGGGAACUACUCAUAUUUGUAUGCGGGAAAACUUAAAUAUAACCAAUAAUUUGAGAUCAAACUCGCCAAAAAUGGUUUCUUUAGGAAUAAACCAUGUGCAUUCGAUCAUUUAUUUAGUUAUUGUCACGUGAAAAAUCAUAAAUAAAAAUAAAAAAUGAAUUUCUACCUUGAAAAUAUACCAUUGCCUUAUUGACCCCACAACACCCUAAAAUUCCAACAUAUUAAUAACUUUUUGUAUGUAACGUUACUCAAUGGGAGUGGGGCGAUGGUAUCCCAGUGAAAUAAUCAUUAAAAUCAUAACAAGUGUCGUGAAAUAACAGAAAUUCACAAAUUUUAGGGGGAACUGGGGUAAAACGGGCUCUAUAACUCGCUUCAGAGAAGUUGCCCGUACAUGAAUCAUCCACCAACCAAUUCUUGAGAAAAUUUGCUUUCGAAGAAGCCAUUGAUGGUCACAUAGUGUCUUGCCUUAAGAAAGUUAUAAAUUUUUUCCACUUUUGGGCUUGAUUUUGCCCAAUGUGCGCUGGCCGGGGCCACCAAGAAUUUGGUGGCAAUCAGUGAAUUGUACCAGUACUCAAGUUAUUAACAAAUAUCAUAGUUGCUGACCGCCGUCGCAUCACUGCUCCUGUAUACAGAACGUUUACGCAAGUAUGUGAGUGUUCCGUGACGUAUUUCUCGUCACUUGCGUGUGUCUAGAGCAUUAUGAUCAGUUGUUAGUGGCCCCAACGAACGAACACGAUUCGCUAAUCGGGGCGCAGUCGUGACCCAACCAGCGAAUCCGGAUUGUAUUAGCGCUAGUUGAGGUUGACAAAGUUGGUUGUUGGAAAAUGACAGCUUUCAAGUAUUGUAGAAAGCCAUGGGUUGCUUGUUUACUGAAUGGAUAAAUGAAUGCAUGAAAAUGCAUUUGAAUGCAGCCCAUUUUUUCAUACAUCUAAUGUUACAAGAGUGAUCCGCCCCUUGAGAGCACAUGUGCCGCCGAUUCCACCCUGUUUGCACACUACGGACAUGAGGGUGAAUCUGCAUGCCCGAACCUGUGCAAGUACCACCUGAAGCACCCAUGGCCCGACAGGAAUUGUGUCAGGUGAAAGUUCACUUCGCCAUGGGGCCUAUACGUCCACCGGGACACGCUCGGUAUGAGCCUGUGUGUCAACCUACCCUUGGUUAAAGAGUCCCAGACUCUCUGCCAUUUCACCAUAGACGAAGUUCUGGCGUUUCGUCGCGCACCUCUAGUACCUCUUUCAUCGUAGCAUUCAACAUCCUCGGCCAACACCAGUGCUAUCGGCAUCAUGCCCGCUAGCACGCAUACCGCGUCUUUCGAGACGGUCCGGUAUGCACUGGCCACUCUAAGACACAUUAGCCUUUGUGUACUCUCUAGUCCAGUGAUUCCCAAAGUGGGCGAAAUCGUUCCCAUGGGGGCGAAAAUCAGGCCCAGGGGGGCGAAAAUUUGAAAAAUCAAAAUUAGGGGGCGAAGAUACUGAAAAGGGGGGCUAUUUUUCAAUUAUUGGAAAACAUCAAUAGCAGUGCUUCCCAAACUGUGCGCCGCGGCGCACUGGUGCUCCGCGAACAUUCUUUAGGUGCGCCGCAGGAUCUUGAAUCAAAACCAAUAGAUCAAACUCUAAAUUUUUAAAUACCUUUUAUAUGUUUUUGAUUUAUUUAGUGAAACUAGUGUCGCCUUGCAACCUUUUAUAAUUCAAUUCCAAAUCCUUGUCUUCUUGAGGAAGACUUCGAAAAAGAAAGUCACGCAAAGGGAGUUUUCCUCUUCCAAAAUUUUAAUUGAGGUAAAUAUUUGACGAAACCUUGAAUUUUCAAGUGCACAAAUUAGAAAACCAAAACUUCGGUUUGCGCUGAAAAGAUGAUCGAUAAGUUUCCUGUUUAUGAUAGCUUAUUGAUUAACUUUGCAGCGCAAAUCAACAUUCAGACCUUCAGAUUAGUACUUGAGGUUUGGCGGUUCAUAUCUCCGCUUUAAAAAAUAAAUAUUCCAUAGUCUUCUAAUGUUUUACAGAACUUGCGAUAUCCCAAUAAAAGUUUUGGAUUUUUACCAAGUUUUUGAAUUGCGGGAUUCUAAAAAUGUUCUUUGAGAUUCAGAAAUUAUUAAACAACAAUAUAUUAUUCAGCUUGGUUUUCGAAUUUAUCAUUAGCAUGUUAUUCAAACUAAAUAUUUAAUGGACUUUUUGAAGUGCUUUCCAGAAUUAUUACUGUCAAUCAUGGCCUUUAUGCUGUUUCAAACGUUUUGGGACAAUAUUUUUAAUGACAUCACUAUCGUAAAGCAAUUCUAAAACGAAAAAAAACUUAUCGCCGUCAGUUGUCCAGACAGGUUCUAGAUAAUCUAUUUUUAUGUGGCUAAAAUAUGAACGACUCAUAAAAAAGUGAUCAUUUUCCAUAACAAAAUCAGAAAUUGCCAAUAAAAAAGUAGGGGUGGGAGCAAUAAUAAACUAUAAAAUUUCCAUAAACAAAUCAAAAAGUGCAUAAAUAAUUCAAACUAUUUGAUUUUCGAGCAAUUAAAAAUAUCAGAAUUUCCACAAAUAAAUCAACAAUUGCAAUAAAAAACUAUAUUUUUUCCAACAAAAAAGUUUAAAUUUUCCAUAAAUAAAUCUGAUUUUUCCAUAAAUAAUUCAAAAAUUCCCAAUUGAAAAAUAUCAAAAAAGCAAUUGAAAAUUAAGCAAUAAAUACGAAAUAAUGAGCAAAGUAAAAGUACUGGUUGAGCCAUACGGUGAAGCCGCAUAGAGGAUUGAGGAACUGAGGCGGCAGAAGGCCGCCGAAGUUUCCGAAAGCCGAUGCGCCGCAACUGCGUCGAUUCGGUUCUAGGCAAUCCACAGAUCCAAGAAUUUGCCCGGUAUAAUGCGAACAGAGAUGUUAUCCUUUUUUAAAGUCCGACGAGCGUUAGCGAGUUCGGACAGCAAGCGAUUGUCUGUUAAUUUGCACAAUAGUUUCAGUUUUUCUAUCAUAGUUCUAAGAUGUAGUAUGUUCGAAAUU